rnacentral:tRNA from 1 species
UAGAUAUUAGUAAAACUAUUACAUAACUUUGUCAAAGUUAAAUUACUGGUUAAUAUCCUGUAUAUCUUU